GCAAUAUUUACCACCAAAUACACACACACGAGUGAAACCCUGACCUUUUGUUAGAGGAGCAAACAGCUGCUUUAUCCCAGAGGCAGUGUCCUCCUCCCAGACUAACAUUAAACAUAGUCUUUACCUUCCUGAAACCAGAGAGCAUCUGUGCCUCUUCCUGAAAGAGAAGUCUGGAUACAGCUGUCUGCCGAGAGGUGGGGCGUCGUCAGGGAAACCGCUUCAUUAAGGGUGUAAUUAACAUCCAUGCUAGACAAUGGAUGCCAUGGUGAUAGACUCACUUCGGGUUUUCCAAGGGAUGACGUUAUGCAGG
ensembl:lncRNA